GACAGAGGGUGCAAACGUUGUUCGGAAUCACUGGGCGUAAAGCGCGUGUAGGCGGCUGGGCAAGUCGGAUGUGAAAGCCCAUGGCUCAACCAUGGAAGAGCAUUCGAAACUGCCUAGCUAGAGUCCUGGAGAGGAAGGUGGAAUGCUUGGUGUAGAGGUGAAAUUCGUAGAUAUCAAGCGGAACACCGGUGGCGAAGGCGGCCUUCUGGACAGUGACUGACGCUGAGACGCGAAAGCGUGGGGAG
rnacentral:rRNA from 1 species